GUGUAAGAGCAGCGAUGCGUUGAGCUAACCGGUACUAAUGAACCGUGAGGCUUAACCUUACAACGCCUAAG
rnacentral:rRNA from 1 species